CAUGAUUAGCUUAGCUAGGAUUGUUUAGAGGGCAGUCGCAGUCGCCCCAACUCCGAUUCACAAAGCCAUUUUAUUGGCCUUUGCGAGUAGGGUGAGAAACAACAUCGUGUUGGAAACUUUAAUCUUUUUAAAAAAUUAAAGAACUGU
rnacentral:ncRNA from 1 species